rnacentral:rRNA from 1 species
AGGGUUCGAUUCUGGCUCAGGAUGAACGCUGGCGGCGUGCUUAACACAUGCAAGUCGAACGGGAUCCCGGGGGUUCGCUUCCGGGUGAGAGUGGCGAACGGGUGAGUAAUGCGUGACCGACCUGCCCCAUACACCGGAAUAGCUCCUGGAAACGGGUGGUAAUGCCGGAUGCUCCGGUUGGAUGCAUGUCCUUCCGGGAAAGAUUCUAUCGGUAUGGGAUGGGGUCGCGUCCUAUCAGCUUGAUGGCGGGGUAACGGCCCACCAUGGCUUCGACGGGUAGCCGGCCUGAGAGGGCGACCGGCCACAUUGGGACUGAGAUACGGCCCAGACUCCUACGGGAGGCAGCAGUGGGGAAUAUUGCACAAUGGGCGCAAGCCUGAUGCAGCGACGCCGCGUGCGGGAUGGAGGCCUUCGGGUUGUAAACCGCUUUUGAUCGGGAGCAAGCCCUUCGGGGUGAGUGUACCUUUCGAAUAAGCACCGGCUAACUACGUGCCAGCAGCCGCGGUAAUACGUAGGGUGCAAGCGUUAUCCGGAAUUAUUGGGCGUAAAGGGCUCGUAGGCGGUUCGUCGCGUCCGGUGUGAAAGCCCAUCGCUUAACGGUGGGUCUGCGCCGGGUACGGGCGGGCUGGAGUGCGGUAGGGGAGACUGGAAUUCCCGGUGUAACGGUGGAAUGUGUAGAUAUCGGGAAGAACACCAAUGGCGAAGGCAGGUCUCUGGGCCGUCACUGACGCUGAGGAGCGAAAGCGUGGGGAGCGAACAGGAUUAGAUACCCUGGUAGUCCACGCCGUAAACGGUGGAUGCUGGAUGU